UACGGAGGGAGCUAGCGUUAUUCGGAAUCAUUGGGCGUAAAGCGCACGUAGGCGGUCUGUUAAGUCGGAUGUGAAAGCCCCGGGCUCAACCCGGGAAGUGCAUACGAAACUGGCGGACUUGAAUAUGGAAGAGGGUCGCGGAAUUCCCGGUGUAGAGGUGAAAUUCGUAGAUAUCGGGAGGAACACCAGUGGCGAAGGCGGCGACCUGGGCCAAUAUUGACGCUAAUGUGCGAAAGCGUGGGGAGCAAACAGG
rnacentral:rRNA from 1 species